GGGCCAGUAGCUCAGCGGUAGAGCAGGAGACUCUUAAUCUCUUGGUCGUGGGUUCGAAUCCCUCCUGGCUCA
rnacentral:tRNA from 2 species